CUCUCUGGAAAGCAGGCGCGCAAAAGGCGGCGUGCCUCACCCAAGGUGAAAGCCGCGUUCCGUCCUGAGGGCGGAGGCGGUCAAUCUCUCAGGUCCGACGACAGAGGG
rnacentral:ncRNA from 2 species